ACACGCCUUCAUCAGUAACCAUGGCAACAGUAAUAAUAGUAACAGAUCCAAAUUCUCUGCUGGUUCUGGUUCCAACAGCUGAACUUUCUGUUCUGAGGACUGAUAUGAAGUCAGCGCUCUGUGUCUCCGUUACAGAUUCAGUUGUCCGUGAUGGCGUCCUCGUUGAUCUUGGACAGCAGCACCAUGUCGUCCACGCCGCUCACCUUCACGUUCUGAGCCAGCCAAUGGUCGUCCCUCUCAUCUCCUGAAUUCCCAGAAUUCCUUCUGUCCUGUGGGAUCAUGUCGAGGAUCGACGACGCCCAGACAUGCUCACACACACACACAC